GACGAACGCUGGCGGCGUGCUUAACACAUGCCAGUCGAACGGUGAAGCUCCAGCUUGCUGGAGUGGAUCAGUGGCGAACGGGUGAGUAACACGUGAGCAACCUGCCCCUGACUCUGGAAUAAGCGCUGGAAACGGCGUCUAAUACUGGAUACGAGAAGGGUCCGCAUGGGCACUUUCUGGAAAGUUUUUCGGUUGGGGAUGGGCUCGCGGCCUAUCAGCUUGUUGGUGGGGUAAUGGCUUACCAAGGCGACGACGGGUAGCCGGCCUGAGAGGGCGACCGGCCACACUGGGACUGAGACACGGCCCAGACUCCUACGGGAGGCAGCAGUGGGGAAUAUUGCACAAUGGGCGAAAGCCUGAUGCAGCGACGCCGCGUGAGGGAUGACGGCCUUCGGGUUGUAAACCUCUUUCAGCAGGGAAGAAGCGAAAGUGACGGUACCUGCAGAAGAAGCACCGGCUAACUACGUG
rnacentral:rRNA from 1 species